AUAUAACACAGGCUCUACCAGGUGGUGCUCAUAUAGGACAGGCUCUACCAGGUGGUGCUCAUAUAGGACAGGCUCUACCAGGUGGUGCUCAUAUAGGACAGGCUCUACCAGGUGGUGCUCAUAUAGGACAGGCUCUACCAGGUGGUGCUCAUAUAGGACAGGCUCUACCAGGUGGUGCUCAUAUAGGACAGGCUCUACCAGGUGGUGCUCAUAUAAGACAGGCUCUACCAGGUGGUGCUCAUAUAGGACAGGCUCUACCAGGUGGUGCUCAUAGGUGCUCAUAUAAGACAGGCUCUACCCGGUGGUGCUCAUAUAGGAGCUAUACAGAGGAAACACUCUACUACACCAGAAUGCACUGUGUCCUCUAACCUUGACAUACCUACUCUGUACUGUGCCAUCUCAUAGCGUCUAUACUGAAGAAAACAUAUGGAGUUGACCAAACAAUAAGGUUCAUGCAUCUAAAUAAC